UUGAUAGCACUCAGCUGUUUUUGUUUUGGCAUGAACCGCCAACACACGCGUCAUCGCGUUAUUGUUAUUUUGAGCGGGUAGUCGAAGGUUUUGCAUCGGCGGUCUGCGUUCGACCGGCCGAAUACUCGUAGAUGACACCGGUUCAAACGUGACAUUGUACUUUGAUAGUCUUGUCCGUGUACUUUGUGCGUCAAAAUGUGACAAAAAUGAACGUACAGCGUUGUUGAAGAUAAAAUGAAGUAUAAAAUGAGCGUUAUUAGUAUGAUUAGAUAAUAUUUUAUGUGCUUGUUAUCAGAAGAUAAUACUUUUAUAAUUACGAUACCGCAAUUAUUCUAUUUCAAAUUAUAUUCUUGUCGAUACAAAUUGAUAGCAGGUUGAUUUUGUUUACAACGAACAACGAACGAGAUGUAAUAAUAAAUUUCUUCAAAAUCUGAUCAUUCUUUUUCUACUUGAUUAUUGAUAUAUUCUUCGUAUUUAUGAAUACGAUAUAUGUAUCGUCAAUCAUACACGGGAAUUCAGCUUAGUUAUGUACAGUGGAAUUAUUUUUAGAGGAUGAUCAGUUGAAGGAGAUGGAAUCGAUGAAAUAAAAUUUUAAAAUUAAAAUUUAUAUCGCAAUUAAUCAUUUGCGUCUAUUAGCCAAAAAUAUAGUGGAAAUGAACAACGGGGAUGAAGUUUGAAUUUUCAAAUUAGAGUAACGCGUAAUUGGUAUCUUAAUUUCUAUCAUAUUGUUAAAAUUUGGUUAAAAAUGAAGAUGUAUUGAAAAUUAUUUUUCACCUUCUUUUUCGAGUUAAAUAUUUUGAAAACUAUAAUGUAUAAUUAGAUUCGUAUAUUUCACUAUAAUAACGAUGAGAAAAAACGAAUUAUACGGUUGGAUUAAAAAAUAAUAAUAAUAGAAAAAAGAAAAUAAAUCAAAAAAGAGAAACAAGAAAUGGAAGUUAAUUGCCUGCGGCUUUCAUUUUUCAUGUAAAAAGAGGAUAUCUUGAAAGUCAUAUAUAGUUCAGAGUAUAUGGGUCACGCGAAAAUAAAUAAAUAAGCGAAUAAAAGAAAAAAAUUUUUAAAAACCGAAAAAUGGAAAUUAGUUGCCUGGAGCUUUCAUAUUUUAUUGUUAAAUUUAAAAAAAAACAUUUCGAAAAUUUUAUAUAUGGUUAAAUCCAUGUUUGAAAAAUCGUGUAUAUAUUUAUGUAUAUAAUUGCUCAAAGUCAUUAUUUGAUAUCUAAAUACGAAUCUGUGGACUUUCUUUGAUUAAGAUACAUUAGUACGAUAUUUAUCUCGUUAUAGAUAAGUAACGAGGUCAGCUAUCAAAUAUUUAGUUAUCAUACACAUAUAUAUCAUAAUUAUUCAUUGAAAUCAGUUUUUUUUUAAAUCGAUCAAAAUAUAGAAAUAAUAAUUAUAAUGUAUUAUUAUUGUACAUUAUAUGUUACAUUUAUAAUAUUUAUAAAUUGCAAAUUUGAAAUUAUAAAAAUUUUGCAAUUUGCAAACAAAUGUUGUCAAUAGAGAUCAUAUCGUUUGCAUGAAAACAAUAUCGAAUAUUUCUUUUCGUCAAAUAUAUUUAGAAUUAUCCUAUUUAGAUAUAUAUGUACGUGACUUUUCUAUUUUUUGAUAUUUUCACAAAAUUUGAUUAUGUCAGAAUUUCAACAUUUUUUUUUGAUUUUAUAUAUGUGUGUAUAUAUGUGUUGAUAUAGAUUCAAGAAUAGGAGAAUUUUCAGUUUAUUCCAAAUCUAAAAUUAUUUUAAAUGAAAUUUAAGUGAAAAUAAAGAAACAGAGAUAUAAUAUUUUAAACUUUCCUAAGCAGUUUUUUAAAUCUUUAAAACUGCAAUAUUGUUACAAUUAUCUGUAAUCUCAUAAACCUACACCGACCUUAAUUAUCUUGAAAAAGUCUCAACAACAAAAGAUUAAGAUCAUUAAAACCUUAAUCACAUUAAUUGUUAAUUUAAUUUGUCUUCGUAACAGAUCGGAUUAAUAAGAACCAACUUUACUUCGAAAAUAAAUUUUUCUUUAUAAAGUUGAAGAAAUACAUCUAAUAAUAAAUCUAAUAAAGAAUUAAGUAAUUAAAUAAGCUAAAUAAAAUAAGCUGAUAAGAAAAUUCAAGCCAAUUGAAAAUGACUGGAGAAAUUCGAUAAAAAUAAAAGAUAAUAAAUAAUACUUAAAGAAUACUUAACGUUUUCGUUAAGAAAAUCAUCUGUAUUAAUAUUUUAAUUAACUAUAAAAAGGAUUCGAACGAAAGAACGUUCGCCAUAACAAUACCAAAGGUAUUUGCAAUUUUUAAAAUACUGCAGCGAAAAGAUUAAAGGAUCGUAAGAAAUUCAAAAGAAACGAAGAAAUAUAAGGAAUCUAAAGAAAUCCGAUGAACCGAAAAUGUUUGAGAAAUUCAAAGAAACUGAAAUAAUUUAAAUCCAAUAAUUCAAGAAAUCCAAGAAAGUAUCGCGUAGAUUUAAAAUUUAAAGGAGCAGUUUAUAUAAAAAAAAAAAAAACGAUCUUUAUCGAUUAUUUCUACGAAAAGAAGAACAGAAAAUUUUCCUUCAAUAAAUUAAUAAAUUUUCUCAUAAUAUUACAGGAAAAUAUCGUAAAUUUUAUCCAUGAUCGUAUCGUAAAAGAACUAUAUCCGAUCGAAUCGCGAAUUCUAUUGAUCCUAUUGAUGAAAUUGAACUUUAAUUAUCUACCAAAUUAGCAAAUUCGAAAUUCGAAAAGAAAAAAAAAAUUUAACUCGAACCAUUCGAAACGUGUUUGUUAUUCGAACAAUGGUUUAGCAGAAAAGCGAGCGUUUCGUUAACAAUUAUUCCGUAAUGGCGUGUGAAUGCAUGACUCACGUGUAUGAAUACAAACAGGGUGUCCGAGUAAAAAUAAAACGUAAAUGAAAAUUGUUAAAAAAAUUAUAUGAAAAGAACUCCCUGAUAAGAAGUGAAUGGUUUUAAAAAGAUCAUAUAUCAUUUUUUAAGUGGAAUCGUAUAAUUUUAAAUAUAUCUUUUUCUCUGUAAAAUAAAUAGUGCAACUUAAAUUUUAUCGAACCUAUCGUACGAAGAACAAGGAUAAAUAGAAUAUUUUCACUUGCUCCUUCUCUUGUAUGUGAUAACUUUUCUUCGAGUUACAAUAUUUUUUAAGCUAAUGAUUUUUUUAACGUAAAUAGGAACAUUAUCGAAACGGAUCAAUUACUGCGUUAAAACAAUAUUAUUCUUUAAAAAAGAAAAACUUGUGUAUCUUCACGCGAUUUAAUUAUCUGGAAAAAAAUUAAUCGGAUCAGAUUCUUUCUCCGUUCAUUUCGAUAAUUUGCACGUUUCGUUUAAACCACUUGUUUAACCACGCUUUGUAUAUCCGUUUCCACGUGUUCUCUAUAAUUGUCCGAUGAUUGUCGAGUUCUUAUUCGUUGAAUCACUCGGUUUGCUCGCUUUUUCCCCCCAAUUUAUUAUUAAUCCGCCUACGAAUUAUUCGAGAAUGAAUAAAUUUAUAAUUGUCACGAGUGUAUCGCGACUAUUUGCAAACCAACUUCCUCGAUUAUGAAUGAUGAAUCAUGAAAUAGAAUCGAUUAAAAUUCUUUUGCGUUUGCAAAUUUCCUGUUUUCAAAGAAAUAAAUUUACUUACUAGAUUUAGGACUUCUCACGCGUAAUACGGAUUACAUAAUCGAAAUUGCCUCAACCUUGCACGGUGCAUCAUUCUUGACCGCGUCUUGGAAUGCAAAUCUAAGUGUUUCUUCUAUCCGAGAACGUACUCGGAUAAAGAGGAACGAAACGAGAUAUUAUAUCAUCCGUAUUAAUGUUGAAUGUAACUUGUUUACGGUUAUUCCAAUAAUACAUGCUCGUUUAAUUCAAUGUGAACAAAAUUCUAAUUCUUUGUACACUCGUUGGAAAUAAUAAUGAAAUAUUUUCCUAUUAAAACGUUUAACUCCUUAAAUGUCGUGAUCAAAAAAUUUUCAUAUAUCGUUUUAUUCGAUGUAUAUGUGAAAAUAAUAUUAUAUCACGCAGUAAGAAUACAAAGUUAAUGUAAUAAAUUAUAUAAAGGAAUAAGAGAAUUUUCGAGACUCUGGCGAUGAUAUUGUCAGAAUAUUAAAGAUUUUUCCUUCUCUA